UACAGAGGUCCCGGAGCGUUGUUCGGAUUCACUGGGCGUAAAGGGGUGCGAUAGGUGGCGAGGUAAGUCGGAUGUGAAAGCUCGGAGCUCAACUCCGAAAUGGCAUUGGAAACUACCUUGCUCCGAGGGUUGGAGGGGGGGACUGGAAUACUUGGUGUAGCAGUGAAAUGCGUAGAUAUCAAGUGGAACACCAGUGGCGAAGGCGAGUCCCUGGACAACUCCUGACACUGAGGCACGAAAGCUAGGGGAGCAAACAGG
rnacentral:rRNA from 1 species